ensembl:lncRNA
GCGGAGGAGGGGCGCCAGGGCGGCGCGGGCCCGGGGCCACCUGCUGGCCGAGCCGCUGCUCCCCGGGGCGCCGCUUCCGCCUGGCCGAGCGCGGCGCCCCGAGGAGGCGGGAGGCCGCGGCGCAGCGCCCUGGGCCGGGCCCGCCGCGGGGCCUGGGCUCGCGGACCCUUGGUCGCCGCCCGCCCCGGAGCUGGAGCCGCCGCGGCCGCGGCUGCGGGCCGGGAACUUACCCUUUGCCGUCUGCGAGGCCGGCGGAGGUGGAGCGCGGGCUCGGUUCCGGCGGACUCGGUCCGAGGGGAGUUGGGGUGCGGGGGCUGUGCCCCAGGUCGAACGCCGGUGCUCGACGGACGCGGGGCGGGGGCGGGUUUGUGUCCCGCGCCUCCUGGGGGCAGCGCCGACCGCGGGCGCCCCGGAGCGGAACGGAAAGGAAUUCGGCCCGGGGAGAGCGUGCUGAACGCGGCGACACGCCGGACCGAAAGCCCCGGCGGGCGUGCGGAGGGCACGGACGGCCCGGCCCUACGGCCCCCGGCUCGGGGAGACCGGCCACUCCGCGUGGCCCUCACCCCGGAAGCAAAACUGGACCAGGGACUCUUCUUGUUCCAAAUGAAUUUUGGGAUUGUCUUCUCAAGGUCCAUGAAGUAUGCUGCUGGAAUUUCAAGCUUGAAUGUGUCUGGAGUUUUUUCUGCAUCUUCUAAUUUGUUCUACUUUCCUCAGGGGUGAGCAGAAUAAAUGCCUCUGUUUAAUCUGCCAUGAAAACUGGAAACUUCUCUCCGCCUUCCUAAACAGUAGUGUGAUAUGGGGAGGAAGAGAGUGAAAGAGAGGUAUCGCACCUGCAGAGGAAAUUAUCAGUUGGAGAGAGGGGACAAGAUGCUUCCCCCUAAGAUCAGGAACAGGACAAGGCCAUCUGCUCUCACCACUCCUAUGCAACGUUAUCUUGAAAGUCUGAGGUACUGCAAAGACAACACAAUGAAAUAAAAGGUAUGCAGGUUGGGAAGUAAGAAAUAAAACUGUCUUUACUGGCAUCUGACGUGAUUGUCUAUGUAGAAAUUCCAAAAAAAUCAAUAGAAUGAAUACUUGAUCGUAGUAAGGACACAAUAUGAGGUUAAUAUAAAAAAGUCAAUCGCAAUUUUAUAUACCAACAAUGAAGAAGGAAUUUGGAACACACAAAAACAUUUACAUUGGCACUUCAAAGGAAAGAGGUUAGGUAUAAAUCUAACAAAAUGUGAAUAAGCUCUAUAAUAGGAAAACUACAAAGCUCUGAUGAAAGAAGAUAUAAAUGAAGAGAUAUACUUCAUGCAUAAAAAUAGGAUGACAAUGCUGCCAACUGUCAUUUCUGACUCCAUCUAUAGACUCAAUGUGUUCCCAAAGAAUAGCACAGAAAUAUGACCACCAAGCUAUUACCAAACUGGUCUUUAGCAAAAGAGUAAAGGCAAUGCAAUGGAGAAUGGACAGCCUUUUCAACAGAUGGUUCUGGAACAAGUGGACAUCUACACACAAAAAGUCACUGCAGACAUCUUUCACAAGUUAAUGAAAUUAAAUCAGACCUAAAUGUAAAACAAAACUAGUAAACUUCCGAAAGAUAAGAGAAGUGAUCUUGGGUUUGGUGAUAACUUCUCAAAACAACAAAAAAAUUCUCGAAAGAAAAAUAAUGACAAUUGACUUCAUUAAAAUUUUAAAAAAUUGUUCUGGGAAAGACAUACAGAUAAUUAAAUGACAAAAUAUAUGAAGAACUCUUCAAACUCCACGGUCCGAAUUUUUUAAAAGGCAGAGGGGAGACCCAAACAGACUUCUCACCAAAGAAAAACAACUAAAUAAAUAUGUAAAGAGAUGUUCAGCACCAUAUGUCAUUAAGGAAUUACAAAUUAAGUCAGCAAUGAGAUACUUCUACACACUUACAUUACAUAGCUAAAAUCCAAAACAGUGAUAACACCAAAUGUCAGUGGAGAUGUGGAGAUCACAGCACCUUUACAACAGUUUGGCCAUUUCUUACAAAAGUGCAUGUACUCAUGUCAUUCCGCAUGAGUUGAAAUUUCCUGUCCACACAAAAAGACUGCACACAAAUGUUUAUAACAGCUUGAUUAAUAAUUGCCAACACUUGAAAGCAACAGAGGGGUUCUUUGGUAGGUGGAUGGAUAAACUGACUGUGGUGUAGCCAUGCAGUGUAAUAUUAUUAAGUGAUGAAGUGAUCUAUAAGGACACAAAAAAGACUUAGUAUAACUUUUUUUUUUAAUUUUUUUUUUAUUUUUGGUACCAGGGAUUGAACUCGGUAUCUUGCACUUGCAAGGCAGGCAGCAGAACCACUGAGCUAAAUCCCUGGCCCGACUUAGUAUAACUUUAAAUGCAUAUUGGGGAGAGAAAGAAGCCAAUCCUCAAAGGCCACACGUAGUAUAGUCCCAUCUCUCUGACAUUCUGGAAAAGGCAAAAGUACAAAGUAGUAAAAAGAUCUGUGGUUGUUGAGAGUCACAGGGAGGGAAAGAUGGCUGAGUAGGUGGAGCGCUGGGGAAUUUUAGGACAGUGAGACUGCUGUGUGAUGCCCUCACGAUGAGUGCACAACACUGUACCAUUGUAAGGCCCUUAAAAUGUACAGCACUCUGAUGUAAACUACAGUCUAGUUAAUAAUAAUGUGUCUGUAUCGGCUCACCCAUGAUAACAAGUGCACUAUAAUAAUGCAAGGUGUUACUAGAGGAAAUGUAGAGAGUGAGUUCUCUAAAAUGAUAGUUUAUUGAACACAAUUUUUAAUUAAAAGGAGAAAUUUAAAAAUCAAUUCUUUGAGGAAUUUGUUGCAGUGAUAGAAAUGUCUGUAUCUGGACUAGAUUGGUGGUCAUACGUGCGUAUACAUUCAUCAAAACUUAUUUAUACUAAAAAAACUGGUUUAUAUUCUUAGACAUUCCACUGUAAGUUUGGGUUUCCUUCUG